rfam:Beta vulgaris subsp. vulgaris Bvchr5.sca007.con0095.1, whole genome shotgun sequence.
UCUAUGUGGUGAUGAUUUAUGGAUAUUCACAUGUCAGACUUCAGAGAUUGCUCGCAAUCUGUGAGAUUAAAAUCCUUAUUUCUAAACACAGC